UAAAAGGCAAAAAUGAACCACUUUCAGCUGCCAUAGUAGCUUGCCUACAAAGGCACUGCUAAAAGAAAGCUAAGGGGACCUUUUUUUUAGAGAUUUCGAGUAAAAUAAAAAAUACAAAAAAAUAUAAAAGAAAGAGUUUUACUAUUCCAUUAAACUUUGGGUUUGAAUCUGAAGGUUUUCAUUUUGCUGAAAGAAUUUUUUUUCUUCAUCUAGG
rnacentral:lncRNA from 1 species